UACGUAGGGUCCGAGCGUUGUCCGGAAUUAUUGGGCGUAAAGGGCUCGUAGGCGGUUCGUCGCGUCGGGAGUGAAAACUCAGGGCUUAACCCUGAGCCUGCUUCCGAUACGGGCAGACUAGAGGUAUGCAGGGGAGAACGGAAUUCCUGGUGUAGCGGUGAAAUGCGCAGAUAUCAGGAGGAACACCGGUGGCGAAGGCGGCAUCCUGGACCAACACUGACACUGAGGAGCGAAAGCCAGGGAGCAAACGGG
rnacentral:rRNA from 1 species